ACUCAAAGGAAUUGACGGGGACCCGCACAAGCAGCGGAGCAUGUUGUUUAAUUCGAAGAUACGCGAAAAACCUUACCAAGGCUUGACAUUGUCUGCAUAACCUAGAGAUAGGUGAAAUGAUAGCAAUAUCACAGAUAAACAGAUGGUGCAUGGUUGUCGUCAGCUCGUGUCGUGAGAUGUUGGGUUAAGUCCCGCAACGAGCGCAACCCUUUUCGUUAGUUGCCAAUAUUAAGUUAGGAACUCUAGCGAUACUGCCGUAGAUAAUACGGAGGAAGGUGGGGAUGACGUCAAAUCAUCAUGCCUCUUACGCCUUGGGCUACAAACGUGCUACAAUGACCGAUACAAAGUGAAGCAAACCUGCGAGGGGGAGCAAACCACAGAAAGUCGGUCUCAGUUCGGAUCGAAGGCUGAAACUCGCCUUCGUGAAGGCGGAGUUGCUAGUAAUCCCAAAUCAGAAUGUUGGGGUGAAUGCGUUCCCGGGUCUUGCACACACCGCCCGU
rnacentral:rRNA from 1 species